rnacentral:rRNA from 1 species
UACAGAGGGUGCGAGCGUUAAUCGGAAUUACUGGGCGUAAAGCGUGCGUAGACGGUCAUGUAAGUCGGAUGUGAAAGCCCCGGGCUCAACCUGGGAAUUGCAUUCGAGACUGCAUGGCUUGGGUGCGGAAGAGGGAAGCGGAAUUUCCGGUGUAGCGGUGAAAUGCGUAGAUAUCGGAAGGAACACCAGUGGCGAAAGCGGCUUCCUGGUCCGACACCGACGUUCAGGCACGAAAGCGUGGGGAGCAACAGG